GAUGAACGCUAGCUACAGGCUUAACACAUGCAAGUCGAGGGGAAACGAUAGAGAAAGCUUGCUUUUUCUAGGCGUCGACCGGCGCACGGGUGAGUAACGCGUAUCCAACCUGCCCAUCACUUGGGGAUAACCUUGCGAAAGUAAGACUGAUACCCAAUGAUAUCUCUAUAAGACAUCUGAAGGAGAUUAAAGAUUUAUCGGAGAUGGAUGGGGAUGCGUCUGAUUAGCUUGUUGGCGGGGUAACGGCCCACCAAGGCGACGAUCAGUAGGGGUUCUGAGAGGAAGGUCCCCCACAUUGGAACUGAGACACGGUCCAAACUCCUACGGGAGGCAGCAGUGAGGAAUAUUGGUCAAUGGGCGAGAGCCUGAACCAGCCAAGUAGCGUGCAGGAUGACGGCCCUAUGGGUUGUAAACUGCUUUUAUAAGGGAAUAAAGUGAGUCUCGUGAGGCUUUUUGCAUGUACCUUAUGAAUAAGGACCGGCUAAUUCCGUGCCAGCCGCCGCGGUAA
rnacentral:rRNA from 1 species